AUUGAACGCUGGCGGCAUGCCUUACACAUGCAAGUCGAACGGCAGCACGGGGGCAACCCUGGUGGCGAGUGGCGAACGGGUGAGUAAUGCAUCGGAACGUGCCCAGUAGUGGGGGAUAACUAGUCGAAAGAUUAGCUAAUACCGCAUACGACCUAUGGGUGAAAGCGGGGGAUUCGCAAGAACCUCGCGCUAUCGGAGCGGCCGAUGUCUGAUUAGCUAGUUGGCGGGGUAAAGGCCCACCAAGGCUUCGAUCAGUAGCUGGUCUGAGAGGACGACCAGCCACACUGGGACUGAGACACGGCCCAGACUCCUACGGGAGGCAGCAGUGGGGAAUUUGGACAAUGGCGCAAGCCUGAUCCAGCCAUGCCGCGUGCGGGAAGAAGGCCU
rnacentral:rRNA from 1 species